rnacentral:rRNA from 1 species
GCAAUACAAUACAACUUUCAGCAACGGAUCUCUUGGCUCUCGCAUCGAUGAAGAACGCAGCGAAAUGCGAUAAGUAAUGUGAAUUGCAGAAUUCAGUGAAUCAUCGAAUCUUUGAACGCACCUUGCGCCCCUUGGCUAUUCCUCGGGGCAUGCCUG